CCGUUACUCGCAGAGUUAGGCUUUUUCUUGGAAUUGUAAAGUUCCUUAGGCCUUUUCUCUGAAGCAGUACACCCCGAGAAGCCUGAGAUCCAAGGGCAUGCCGCCCUCAGACAUACAGGGCCAGAGGGUUGACGUAUGUUAACAACAUAUCGUCAGAGGUCUAUAGGUACUCUGCCCUGAGGGAAAGACACAGUCGUUACUUCAUACUGAGUCAACUGAGUGAAUGUUUGAAGAUAUUCUUCUAUUAACUCUGUUCCCCUAUAGCUGCUUUCGUCUUUGUGCCCUGCUCGGAAAACUAGUCACUGUUAAGAGGAAGGGAUUUACUACACUAGUGGUUACAUUGAUAUGAUAAAUAUUUCCUUUCAAGUUCAAAUUCAGCUAAUAGAUAAUGGAUGAGGUGUGUACGUGACUGGAAGAGUAUAAAACUUAAACUUGGAAUAAAGAACUUUGCUAUAUGCCAUCCCACGGUGUAUAGUCUGUUUCUUGACUUAAUAAUUACAGGAGCGAGUUCACACCUAGAGCAAAGCUGCUGCUCGUUCGCGUCUCGGGUCGCGCAACACUACAAAAAAAAAAAAAGGGAUUCUUUGAUGGGUUAAAGCGACGAGGGUUUGUCUAUCUAAAAAGGCUUGGACGAUGAGGAAGCCUGUAGGUCGGAGACGAGCCACCGGAGGAGGUGGUGAGCCACAGGAGCCACCCCAUUGUCCGCUGUCAUGAUGAAGCAUGGUUACAUUGGUAAAUUUGAAAUCCUCGAUGAUCGCAGAGCUGGGGAAAUCGUUGAGAACCUCACACACAGGUUAAACGAGUGUGGAGCGAUCAGCCCCAGGUUUGCUGUGCAACUCUAGAAAGAUGGCAGAAUUGUCUGCUCCCAUCCUGCCGGUUUGGUUUCACUGUACUGACAACUUCAGCUGGCAUCACGGACCACGAAGAAGCAAGAAGAAAACACACGGGAGGGAAAAUCCUGCGAUUCUUUUUCUAGGGAUGCGAUACAUAUUGAACAAAUGAAAUGCCUCAAUGAAAACAAAACCAAAGAAAACAAAAAUAAAAAGAAACAAAUAAGAUGAUCAGUCCUGUA